rnacentral:rRNA from 1 species
GGUUAAGUAACUAAGGGCAUGCGGUGAAUGCCUAGGCGCCGGGAGCCGAAGAAGGACGCGGUAAGCUGCGAAAAGCUACGUUGAGUCGCAAGCAGACCUUGACACGUAGAUAUCCGAAUAGGACAACCCUGCCGGAGUUAUGUCCGGCAACCUUAAAGCCAAUCCAUAACUUUAAGGAGGGCAACCCGGGGAACUGAAACAUCUAAGUACCCGGAGGAAGAGAAAGAAAACUCGAUUCCCCCAGUAGCGGCGAGCGAAGCGGGAAGAGCCCAAACCGAGCAAUCGGGGUAAGGACACUCAAAAAGAUAUAGCGUUUUAGCAGAAUGACCUGGGAAAGUCAGCCAUAGAAGGUUAAAGCCCUGUACGCGAAAAGACAAAAUAUCCGGAGUGGAUCCGGAGUACCACGAGGCACGAGGAAUCUCGUGGGAAGGCGGGGGGCCCACCCCCCAAGGCUAAAUACUCCCCGGCGACCGAUAGUGAACCAGUACCGUGAGGGAAAGGUGAAAAGCACCUCGGAAGAGGAGUGAAAUAGAACCUGAAACCGCAUGCUUACAAUCAGUCACAGCUCCACAUGCGAGUAGUGGCGUACUUUUUGUAGAACGGACCGGCGAGUUGCGUUAAGAAGCCAGGUUAAGGAAACGGAGCCAUAGCGAAAGCAAGUCUUAAUAGGGCGCAAGUUUCUUGGCGCAGACCCGAAACCGGGUGAUCUACCCAUGAGCAGGUUGAAGCGUUGGUAAAACAACGUGGAGGACCGAACCAGGUGUCGUUGAAAAGACAUUGGAUGACUUGUGGGUAGGGGUGAAAUUCCAAUCGAACCCGGAGAUAGCUGGUUCUCCUCGAAAUAGCUUUAGGGCUAGCCUCAAGCAAAGACCUACGGAGGUAAAGCACUGACUGGAUGCGGGGGCUUCACCGCCUACCAAAUCUUAUCAAACUCAGAAUGCCGUAGGGGAGUUACUUGGGAGUCAGACUAUGGGGGAUAAGCUUCAUAGUCAAAAGGGAAAGAACCCAGACCGUCGUCUAAGGUCCCCAAGUUGGUGUUAAGUGGAAAAGGAUGUAGAAUCGCUCAGACAACCAGGAUGUUGGCUUAGAAGCAGCCAUCAUUAAGAGAGUGCGUAAUAGCUCACUGGUCCAGGGGUUCCGCGCCGAAAAUGUAACGGGGCUCAAACACCACACCGAAGACACGGAAUGCAUAGCAUUGGUAGAGGAGCGAUCCAUUGAGAACGAAGCGAGAGCGCAAGCGCUCGUGGACCCAAUGGAAGAGAGAAUGCCGGUAUAAGUACACGAUAAAAGAGGUGAGAAUCCUCUUCGCCGAAAGUCUAAGGAUUCCUGGGGAAGGCUCGUCCGCCCAGGGUAAGUCGGGACCUAAGGCAAGGCCGAAAGGCGUAGUCGAUGGGAAACAGGUAGAAAUUCCUGUACCUAUCUUAUUUAAUGACCACGCAGUGACGCAGAAGGGUACAGCGAGCGCCCAGUUGGUGAGGCGUUCAAGCGCGUAGGGCGAUGCGUAGGCAAAUCCGCGCAUCACGAGCCUGAGACGUGACGACGAGUGAAACAUAGUAACGAAGUCCUGAAUCCCCCGCUGCCAAGAAAAGCUGCUAAGGAAAAUAAGAUAGCCCGUACCGCAAACCGACACAGGUAGACAGGUAGAGAAUACUAAGGCGCGCGAGAUAACUCUUGUUAAGGAACUCGGCAAAAUGAACCCGUAACUUCGGGAAAAGGGUUGCUCCCCCGUGUGAGUAUGAACAAUACAGAGCAUAAGGGAGCCGCAGAGAAGAGGUCCAGGCGACUGUUUAGCAAAAACACAGGUCAUUGCCAAAUCGUAAGAUCACGUAUAAUGGCUGACGCCUGCCCGGUGCUGGAAGGUUAAGGGGAAGAGUGCAAGCUUUGAACCGAAGCCCCAGUAAACGGCGGCCGUAACUAUAACGGUCCUAAGGUAGCGAAAUUCCUUGUCGGGUAAGUUCCGACCCGCACGAAAGGCGUAACGAUCUGGACGCUGUCUCAACAAGGGACUCGGUGAAAUUGAAUUACCGGUAAAGAUGCCGGUUACCUGCGAUAGGACAGAAAGACCCCAUGGAGCUUUACUGCACCCUGAUAUUGGGUUUCGGUUAUUUAUGUACAGCAUAGGUGGGAGACAGCGAAGCGAGAGCGCCAGUUUUCGCAGAGUCACCCUUGGGAUACCACCCUUAAGUGAUUGAAAUUCUAACAAGGAACCAUUAUCUGGUUAUUGGACAUUGUCAGGCAGGCAGUUUGACUGGGGCGGUCGCCUCCUAAAGAGUAACGGAGGCGCUCAAAGGUUCCCUCAGAACGGAUGGAAAUCGUUCAUAGAGUGUAAAGGCAGAAGGGAGCUUGACUGCGAGAGCAACAACUCGAGCAGGAAGGAAACUUGGACUUAGUGAUCCGGCGGUUGCGAGUGGAAGUGCCGUCGCUCAACGGAUAAAAGCUACCCUGGGGAUAACAGGCUUAUCUCCCCCAAGAGUUCACAUCGACGGGGAGGUUUGGCACCUCGAUGUCGGCUCAUCGCAUCCUGGGGCUGUAGUAGGUCCCAAGGGUUGGGCUGUUCGCCCAUUAAAGCGGUACGCGAGCUGGGUUCAGAACGUCGUGAGACAGUUCGGUCCCUAUCCAUCGUAGGCGUAGGAUAUUUGAGAGGCACUGACCCUAGUACGAGAGGACCGGGUUGGACACACCGCUGGUUAACCGGUUGUCGUGCCAACGGCAUAGCCGGGUAGCUAAGUGUGGCCAUGAUAAACGCUGAAAGCAUCUAAGCGUGAAGCAGCCCUCAAGAUGAGAUAUCCCACUAGGAUACUAGAUAAGACCCCAGAGAGACGAACUGGUAGAUAGGUCGGGCGUGUAAGAAGAGCAAUCUUUUGAGCGGACCGAUACUAAUAGGUCGAAGACUUAACCGA